UAGUUUUUUUUGUUUGUUAUAUUUAUAUAAUGUUUGAUAUGCAGACAGAAAGGUGUCUUAGUGAGACAGUGUUUUAUUUUACUUUAUUGCACAAAGUGAAUCAAGCAGCUGAAUAUGAGGACAAAUACAGACACUGAAUGUAAAAACAUGAAUACAGAACAAUAACAGGACGCCUACUCUGUUAAUGAAGAGCGAUGCACAUGUGAUCAUCACAAUGCAAUACAUCCAAACCUAUAUAGUUAUUUACUUAUAUAUGUAUUUGUUUCCGUCAGCUCAAACAGUUUUCUGUCUAUUAUUUCCUGGAGUCUCCUGACUAACAACGUGUUAUUUGUGUUUAAAAUGAGACUUAAAUCAAACCUCAGGUAGUAAUUAAAGGUACCGUAGACGCCCUCAGAUAUUCUGAACUACUGCUACUUGAAUUAAAGCUACAAGGAGCCAAUGUGCUAACGUGCAGCUAGCUGUGGCUAACGUGCAGCUAGCUGUGGCUAACGUGCAGCUAGCUGUGGCUAACGUGCAGCUAGCUGUGGCUAACGUGUUUCUGUCCUCCUCAGAUCUUCACACCACCUCUAACCUCCGCUCCCGCUCUCUGUCGGGCACCGGUCGCUCUCUGGUCGGCUCGUGGCUCAAGCUGAACCGGACCGAGGACUACUUCCUGCUCUACUCACACCUGACCUAUGUCACGCUGCCGCUGCACCGCAUCACCACAGACAUCCUGGAGGUGAGGCAGAAGCCCAUCCUGAUGACGUAAUGACAUGUGAUGACCUCAUAACACGUGAUGUGAUGACAUCAUAUCCUGAUGACGUAGCAGCGCUGCCUCCCUCAGUCAUCUCUACAAAGUGCCUCCUGCAUCAUCAGGCCACUGAGACCACAGCAGAACAACUUCAGAGGAGACCAACAAACCAGCCAUUCAGGAAGUGCCUCUUCUUCUUCUUCAGUUCGUCCGAGGUCGUCGGGGUCACGUGACCUCAGGUGUGAAAAAAAGGCAAUUGGCUGAACUCUGAACCAGGAAGUGAAGAACGUGUAAAUAUCUGCUGCUUUA